rnacentral:rRNA from 1 species
UACUAUAGCUUGACACUGAACAUUGAGCCUUGAUGUGUAGGAUAGGUGGGAGGCUUUGAAGUGUGGACGCCAGUCUGCAUGGAGCCGACCUUGAAAUACCACCCUUUAAUGUUUGAUGUUCUAACGUUGACCCGUGAUCCGGGUUGCGGACAGUGUCUGGUGGGUAGUUUGACUGGGGCGGUCUCCUCCUAAAGAGUAACGGAGGAGCACGAAGGUUGGCUAAUCCUGGUCGGACAUCAGGAGGUUAGUGCAAUGGCAUAAGCCAGCUUGACUGCGAGCGUGACGGCGCGAGCAGGUGCGAAAGCAGGUCAUAGUGAUCCGGUGGUUCUGAAUGGAAGGGCCAUCGCUCAACGGAUAAAAGGUACUCCGGGGAUAACAGGCUGAUACCGCCCAAGAGUUCAUAUCGACGGCGGUGUUUGGCACCUCGAUGUCGGCUCAUCACAUCCUGGGGCUGAAGUAGGUCCCAAGGGUAUGGCUGUUCGCCAUUUAAAGUGGUACGCGAGCUGGGUUUAGAACGUCGUGAGACAGUUCGGUCCCUAUCUGCCGUGGGCGCUGGAGAACUGAGGGGGGCUGCUCCUAGUACGAGAGGACCGGAGUGGACGCAUCACUGGUGUUCGGGUUGUCAUGCCAAUGGCACUGCCCGGUAGCUAAAUGCGGAAGAGAUAAGUGCUGAAAGCAUCUAAGCACGAAACUUGCCCCGAGAUGAGUUCUCCCUGACUCCUUGAGAGUCCUGAAGGAACGUUGAAGACGACGACGUUGAUAGGCCGGGUGUGUAAGCGCAGCGAUGCGUUGAGCUAACCGGUACUAAUGAACCGUGAGGCUUAACCUUACAACGCCGAAGGUGUUU